GACGAACGCUGGCGGCGUGCUUAACACAUGCAAGUCGAACGGAAAGGCCCUGCGUUUGUUGGGUUCUCGAGUGGCGAACGGGUGAGUAACACGUGAGUAACCUGCCCUUGAAUUUGGGAUAUCUUCACGAAACUCGGGCUCUUAUCGCAUAGGAUCUCUUGCUCCAUGGUGUGCAUUGGAAAGUUUCGGCGGUUGGGGAUGGAAUCGCGGCUUAUGAGCUUGUUGGUGGGGUAGUGGCUUACCAAGGCUUCGACGGGUAGCCGGCCUGAGAGGCUGGCCGGCCACAUUGGGACUGAGAUACGGCCCAGACUCCUACGGGAGGCAGCAGUGGGGAGUAUGGCACAAUGGGCGGAAGCCUGAUGCAGCAACGCCGCGUGCGGGAUGACGGCCUUCGGGUGGUAAACCGCUUUCGCCGGUGACGAAGCGUGAGUGACGGUAAUGGGUAAAGAAGCACCGGCUAACUACGUG
rnacentral:rRNA from 1 species